CUCAGAGCCAUAUCUCCCUGCAGUUCUUGUCUGGUUUCUCACUGAAGCUAAGCAGGGUUGAGUCUGGCCAUUAUCUGGAUAGGAGACCUGGGUAAAACUAAGGAAGCUGCUGGAA
rnacentral:rRNA from 1 species